AAGUAGUAUAAACUUUUAAAAAAACUAACAUAACUUGGCGGCAAUCACACCCAAAGGAACUUGUUUACCAAUCGAUAAUACCCGUUAAUAUUAACUUUAUUUACAAUAAUUUAUAUACCGCCGUCUAAAAACAAAAUAAAAAAAUCACACUUUUAAUAUAUUCUAUCAAGUCAGGUCAAGGUGUAAUCUAUAAUUAAGUCUAAAUGAGUUACAUUAAAUAUUAUUUAAGAAUUCCAUAUAAACUCAAUUGAAAAAGAAUUAGGAAGUAAUAAAAUCAAUUACGAUAUUAUGAAAUAUACCUAUUGCGC
rnacentral:rRNA from 1 species